AUUGAACGCUGGCGGCAGGCCUAACACAUGCAAGUCGAGCGGAUGACGGGAGCUUGCUCCUUGAUUCAGCGGCGGACGGGUGAGUAAUGCCUAGGAAUCUGCCUGGGAGUGGGGGACAACGUGUCGAAAGGAACGCUAAUACCGCAUACGUCCGACGGGAGAAGGCAGGGGACCUUCGGGCCUUGCGCUAGCAGAUGGGCCGAGGUCGGAUUAGCUAGUAGGUGAGGUAAUGGCUCACCUAGGCGACGAUCCGUAACUGGUCUGAGAGGAUGACCAGUCACACUGGAACUGAGACACGGUCCAGACUCCUACGGGAGGCAGCAGUGGGGAAUAUUGGACAAUGGGCGAAAGCCUGAUCCAGCCAUGCCGCGUGUGUGAAGAAGGUCUUCGGAUUGUAAAGCACUUUAAGUUGGGAGGAAGGGCAGUAAGUUAAUACCUUGCUGUUUUGACGUUACCGACAGAAUAAGCACCGGCUAACUCUGUGCCAGCCGCCGCAGUAA
rnacentral:rRNA from 1 species